rnacentral:tRNA from 1 species
AGGAGCUUAGGUUAGCCUAGACCAAGAGCCUUCAAAGCUCUAAGCAAGUAUAAUAUAUUUAGCUCCUG